rnacentral:rRNA from 1 species
GAUGAACGCUGGCGGCGUGCCUAAUACAUGCAAGUCGAGCGAACAGACGAGGAGCUUGCUCCGCUGACGUUAGCGGCGGACGGGUGAGUAACACGUGGAUAACCUACCUAUAAGACUGGGAUAACUUCGGGAAACCGGAGCUAAUACCGGAUAAUAUAUUGAACCGCAUGGUUCAAUAGUGAAAGACGGUUUUGCUGUCACUUAUAGAUGGAUCCGCGCCGCAUUAGCUAGUUGGUAAGGUAACGGCUUACCAAGGCAACGAUGCGUAGCCGACCUGAGAGGGUGAUCGGCCACACUGGAACUGAGACACGGUCCAGACUCCUACGGGAGGCAGCAGUAGGGAAUCUUCCGCAAUGGGCGAAAGCCUGACGGAGCAACGCCGCGUGAGUGAUGAAGGUCUUCGGAUCGUAAAACUCUGUUAUUAGGGAAGAACAAAUGUGUAAGUAACUAUGCACGUCUUGACGGUACCUAAUCAGAAAGCCACGGCUAACUACGUG